rnacentral:rRNA from 1 species
AUUGAACGCUGGCGGCAUGCCUUACACAUGCAAGUCGAACGGUAACAGGUUAAGCUGACGAGUGGCGAACGGGUGAGUAAUAUAUCGGAACGUGCACAGUCGUGGGGGAUAACUGCUCGAAAGAGCAGCUAAUACCGCAUACGACCUGAGGGUGAAAGCGGGGGAUCGCAAGACCUCGCGCGAUUGGAGCGGCCGCUAUAAGAUUAGGUAGUUGGUGGGGUAAGAGCCCACCCAGCCAACGAUCUGUAGAUGGUCUGAGAGGACGACCAGCCACACUGGGACUGAGACACGGCCCAGACUCCUGCGGGAGGCAGCAGUGGGGAAUUUUGGACAAUGGGCGCAAGCCUGAUCCAGCCAUGCCGCGUGCGGGAAGAAGGCCUUCGGGUUGUAAACCGCUUUUGUCAGGGAAGAAAAGGUUCUGGUUAAUACCUGGGACUCAUGACGGUACCUGAAGAAUAAGCACCGGCUAACUACGUGCCAGCCGCCGCCGUAA